rnacentral:tRNA from 1 species
GCAUUCGUGGUGUAGUGGUCAGUACGCUCGACGCGUAUUUGAGAGGUCAGAGGUCCGUGGUUCGAGUCCCGGCGAGGGCA